AGGGGUAUCGCCAAGCGGUAAGGCAACGGACUCUGACUCCGUCAUUUCGUUGGUUCGAAUCCAGCUACCCCUGCCA
rnacentral:tRNA from 1 species